CUAGGAAUAUUGCGCAAUGGGGGAAACCCUGACGCAGCAAUCCCGCGUGAGUGAUGAAGGCCUUCGGGUUGUAAAGCUCUUUUAGUAAGAAAGAAAAAAAUGACGGUACUUACAGAAAAAGCACCGGCAAACUUCGUGCCAGCAGCCGCGGUAAUACGAAGGGUGCAAGCGUUACUCGGAUUUACUGGGCGUAAAGCGUCCGCAGGCUGUUUAGUCAGUUUGGUGUGAAAUCCCACUGCUCAAAGGUGGAAGUGCAUUGAAUACUGCUAGACUAGAGUAUAGGAGGGGAGAAUGGAAUUCCUGGUGUAGAGGUGAAAUUCGUAGAUAUCAGGAGGAACAACGGAAGCGAAGGCGAUUCUCUGGACUAUUACUGACGCUCAUGGACGAAAGUGUGGGGAGC
rnacentral:rRNA from 1 species